AUUGAACGCUGGCGGCAGGCCUAACACAUGCAAGUCGAACGAGUGGCGGACGGGUGAGUAAUGUCUGGGAAAUUGCCUGAUGGAGGGGGAUAACUACUGGAAACGGUAGCUAAUACCGCAUACCAUCAGAUGUGCCCAGAUGGGACUAGCUAGUUGGUGGGGUAACGGGUCACCAAGGCGACGAUCCCUAGCUGGUCUGAGAGGAUGACCAGCGAGACUGGAACUGUGACACGGUCCAGACUCCGACGCGAGGCAGCAGUGGGGAAUAUUGCACAAUGGGCGCAAGCCUGGUGCAGCCAUGCCGGGUGUAUGAAGAAGGCCUUCGGGUUGUAAAGUACGUUCAGCGCGGAGGCGUUACCCGCAGAAGAAGCACCGGCUAACUCCGUGCCAGCAGCCGCGGUAAUAC
rnacentral:rRNA from 1 species